CUUGCUUGUCAAUGUCAAGGGUUUGCUGUUUUCGAAGAGUUCAGCAAUCUCAACUUCGGCUGCUGGCCAAUAAUGCCACCUUGGGCACAUCUCCACGAGGAACAACCAGGGAUCCUGAGAAUCCAUACUCACUGAGAUCUAUCCUUGCUGACUCCUGCCUGAGGGCGGAAAAUGAGAUUCAGCGGGAAGAGGCUUUCUCUUGUUCUAGGC